UUUUCCUCUCUCUCUCUCCUAGCAAUAUUCUCAGUUGAAUUUGCUGCAUUUCUUCCAUAUUUAUUAAUAUACACUGGGUUGGAUAGAGCUGUACUGUCAGUGUUAUGUCAGUCAAUUGUUUUAUUAAUAAUAUCACAAGCACCAAAGAGACUACUGUGGAGGUUCAGGCAAUACAUGAUCAACAGGGCUAAGAUAGGGUGCAGUGAUAAGACCUCCUCAUUCCCAGCUAGGACUGUUACUUGUGGAGUUGUGUUCACUUAUAUAUUCCAUUUAUCAUAUCUGUCACUCAAUGAUCCUACCAAUGAUGGUCUCUUCAUAUUCUAUAUGAUGAUCACUAUACUCUAUGUGGUGGUACCAUUCAUCACUACUGUCAGUAGGGUAGGCCCACUACUUCAGCAGUCCUUUCAUUUUUAUUGAACAUUUUGGUCUUAGAUCUCUACGAGCAGCCACUUGUGGUUCAUAGGAGCCUCUAGAUCUUUUCUC